rnacentral:lncRNA from 1 species
CCCUGCUGGGUCAGACUGAGGCUCAACUGCUGCUGAAUCUGUACCUUUGCCUAUUUCUACCCCAUCUCAUCCUGAGAGCACCCUCCCACUCAAUCACAGGCUGGCAGCAGACAAACGAUGCAGGCAGGCAGUGAGACUCAGAUUGGGUCCUCCUGUCGGAACAGCUGGGAUAUGAUGUCCAUGCCCUCUCCCAGGACCCAGGUGGAACUUGAAUACUGAUUCAUCAUACUCACUUUUCAUUUGGAGAGUGAAUUUUGGACUGAAAUAAAGGGAGAUGUUCAGCCUCAGGUGUAGAAGCAGUGAGACAAUUUCCCACCACGGAGGAAGAUGAAGAGCAGGAGAGGAGAGGCUGGCGGCUCCCAGGAGCAGAUCACCUGCCCCCACUGCAAGGCCCCCGUGUGCUCAAUAAACUGACCCUUGCGCAGAG